rnacentral:rRNA from 1 species
CACGCCGUAAACGUUGGGCACUAGGUGUGGGUCUCAACCAACGAGAUCCGCGCCGUCGCUAACGCAUUAAGUGCCCCGCCUGGGGAGUACGGCCGCAAGGUUAAAACUCAAAGGAAUUGACGGGGGCCCGCACAAGCAGCGGAGCGUGUUGCUUAAUUCGAUGCAACGCGAAGAACCUUACCUGGGCUUGACAUGAUGGGAAAAGCCGUAGAGAUACGGUGUCCUUCGGGGUCCAUCACAGGUGG